rnacentral:rRNA from 1 species
CGGAGGAAAAGAAACCAACUUGGGAUUACCUUAGUAACGGCGAGUGAAGCGGUAAAAGCUCAAAUUUGAAAUCUGGUACUUUCAGUGCCCGAGUUGUAAUUUGUAGAAUUUGUCUUUGAUUAGGUCCUUGUCUAUGUUCCUUGGAACAGGACGUCAUAGAGGGUGAGAAUCCCGUUUGGCGAGGAUACCUUUUCUCUGUAAGACUUUUUCGAAGAGUCGAGUUGUUUGGGAAUGCAGCUCAAAGUGGGUGGUAAAUUCCAUCUAAAGCUAAAUAUUGGCGAGAGACCGAUAGCGAACAAGUACAGUGAUGGAAAGAUGAAAAGAACUUUGAAAAGAGAGUGAAAAAGUACGUGAAAUUGUUGAAAGGGAAGGGCAUUUGAUCAGACAUGGUGUUUUUUGCAUGCACUCGCCUCUCGUGGGCUUGGGCCUCUCAAAAAUUUCACUGGGCCAACAUCAAUUCUGGCAGCAGGAUAAAUCAUUAAGAAUGUAGCUACUUCGGUAGUGUUAUAGCUUUUUGGAAUACUGUUAGCCGGGAUUGAGGACUGCGCUUCGGCAAGGAUGUUGGCAUAAUGGUUAAAUGCCGCCCGUCUUG